rnacentral:rRNA from 1 species
GACGAACGCUGGCGGCGUGCCUAAUACAUGCAAGUCGAACGAGUGGCGGACGGGUGAGUAAUGUCUGGGAAACGGCCCGAUGGAGGGGGAUAACUACUGGAAACGGUAGCUAAUACCGCAUACAAUCGGAUGUGCCCAGAUGGGAUUUGCUAGUAGGUGGGGUAAGGGCUCACCUAGGCCACGCUCCCUAGCUGGUCUGAGAUGAUGACCAGCCACACUGGAAAUGAGACACGGGCCAGACUCCGACGGGAGGCAGCAGGGGGGAAGAUUGCACCAUGGGCUCAAGCCUGAUGCAGCCAUGCCGCGUGGAUGAAGAAGGCCUUCGGGUUGUAAAGUACUGUCAGCGAGGAGGCGUUACUCGCAGAAGAAGCACCGGCUAACUCCGUGCCAGCAGCCGCGGUAAUAC